UUUUGUAAACGCUCGUGAUGAGACCUCA
rnacentral:rRNA from 6 species